GCAAGUCGAGCGAAGCCUUCGGGUUUAGCGGCGGACGGGUGAGUAACGCGUGGGAACAUACCUUUCACUACGGAAUAGCCCCGGGAAACUGGGAGUAAUACCGUAUACGCCCUUUUGGGGAAAGAUUUAUCGGUGAGAGAUUGGCCCGCGUUGGAUUAGGUAGUUGGUGGGGUAACGGCCUACCAAGUCUACGAUCUAUAGCUGGUUUUAGAGGAUGAUC
rnacentral:rRNA from 1 species